AGAGUUUGAUCAUGGCUCAGGAUGAACGCUGGCGGCGUGCUUAACACAUGCAAGUCGAACGAGGGCGAUAGCAAUAUUGCCCGAGUGGCGGACGGGUGAGUAACGCGUGAACAAUCUGCCUGUAUCAGGGGAAUAACACUAAGAAAUUGGUGCUAAUACCGCAUAAGACCACGGAGAGGCAUCUCCCCGGGGUAAAAGAAUAAUCGGAUACAGAUGAGUUCGCGUCCCAUUAGGUAGUUGGUGAGGUAACGGCCCACCAAGCCGACGAUGGGUAGCCGACCUGAGAGGGUGAUCGGCCACAUUGGAACUGAGAGACGGUCCAGACUCCUACGGGAGGCAGCAGUGGGGAAUAUUGGGCAAUGGAGGGAACUCUGACCCAGCAACGCCGCGUGAGUGAAGAAGGUUUUCGGAUUGUAAAACUCUUUAAGCGGGGACGAAGAAAGUGACUGUACCCGCAGAAUAAGCAUCGGCUAACUACGUGCCAGCAGCCGCGGUAAUACGUAGGAUGCAAGCGUUAUCCGGAAUGACUGGGCGUAAAGGGUGCGUAGGUGGUUUGUCAAGUUGGCAGCGUAAUUCCGUGGCUUAACCGCGGAACUACUGCCAAA
rnacentral:rRNA from 1 species